CCUACGGGGAUGCUGCAGUGAGGAAUAUUGGUCAAUGGGCGGGAGCCUGAACCAGCCAAGUCGCGUGAGGGAAGACGGUCCUAUGGAUUGUAAACCUCUUUAGGCGGGGAGCAAUGCCGGACACGUGUGCCCGGAGGGAGAGUACCCGCAGAAUAAGCAUCGUCUAACUCCGUGCCAGCAGCCGCGGUAAUACGGAGGAUGCGAGCGUUAUCCGGAUUUAUUGGGUUUAAAGGGUGCGUAGGCGGAUUUUUAAGUCAGCGGUAACAUGUCCGGGCUCAACCCGGGCCGGCCGGUGAAACUGGGGAUCGUGAGUGGGCGAGAAGUAUGCGGAAUGCGUGGUGUAGCGGUGAAAUGCAUAGAUAUCACGCAGAACUCCGAUUGCGAAGGCAGCAUACCGGCGCCCGACUGACGCUGAGGCACGAAAGCGUGGGGAUCGAACAGGAUUAGAUACCCGGGUAGUC
rnacentral:rRNA from 1 species